rnacentral:rRNA from 1 species
GAGUUUGAUCAUGGCUCAGGACGAACGCUGGCGGCGUGCUUAACACAUGCAAGUCGAGCGAUGAAGCUCCUUCGGGAGUGGAUUAGCGGCGGACGGGUGAGUAACACGUGGGUAACCUGCCUCAUAGAGGGGAAUAGCCUUUCGAAAGGAAGAUUAAUACCGCAUAAGAUUGUAGCUUCGCAUGAAGCAGCAAUUAAAGGAGUAAUCCGCUAUGAGAUGGACCCGCGUCGCAUUAGCUAGUUGGUGAGGUAACGGCUCACCAAGGCGACGAUGCGUAGCCGACCUGAGAGGGUGAUCGGCCACAUUGGGACUGAGACACGGCCCAGACUCCUACGGGAGGCAGCAGUGGGGAAUAUUGCACAAUGGGGGAAACCCUGAUGCAGCAACGCCGCGUGAUGAUGACGGUCUUCGGAUUGUAAAGCUCUGUCUUCAGGGACGAUAAUGACGGUACCUGAGGAGGAAGCCACGGCUAACUACGUGUCAGCAGUCGCGGUAA